rnacentral:rRNA from 1 species
GAUGAACGCUGGCGGCGUGCCUAAUACAUGCAAGUCGAGCGAACGGACGAUAAGCUUGCGUCUCUGAUGUUAGCGGCGGACGGGUGAGUAACACGUGGAUAACCUACUUAUAUGUCUGGGAUAAUUUCGGGAAACCGGAGCUAAUACUGGAUAAUAUUUUGAACCGCAUGGUUCAAAAGUGAAUGACGGUCUUGCUGUCUGUAAUAGCUGGUUCCGCGCUGCAUUAGCGAGUUGGUAAGGUAACGGCUUACCAAGGCAACGAUGCAUAGCCGACCUGAGAGGAUGAUCGGCCACACUGGAACUGAGACACGGUCCAGACUCCUACGGGAGGCAGCAGUAGGGAAUAUUCCGCAAUGGGCGAAAGCCUGACGCAGCAACGCCGCGUGAGUGAUGAAGGUCUUCGGAUCGUAAAGCUCUGUUAUUAGGGAAGAACAUAUGCGUAAGUAACUGUGGACAUCUUGACGGUACCUAAUCAGAAAGCAACGGCUAACUACGUG